rnacentral:rRNA from 1 species
UAGUGAUAUGCUUGUCUAAAAGAUUAAGCCAUGCAUGUCUCAGUAUAAGUAUCAUACAGCGAAACUGCGAAUGGCUCAUUAAAACAGUCAUAAUUUACACGAAGGUCUUCUAUACGGAAUAACCGAGUUAAUUUUUCGGCUAAUACGUGCGGAAAGGCCCUCGGGCUGUACUUAUUAGAUAAAGAACCGCGUCCUUCGGGACACUGGUGAAUCAUAAUAAUUGAUCAGAGCUCGCUUGCGAGCUAGUUCGUUCAAGUUUCUGACCUAUCAGGUUUCGAUGGUUGUGUAUUGGACAACCAUGCCUUUGACGGGUAACGGAGAAUUAGGGUUCGAUUCCGGAGAGGGAGCCUGAGAGACGGCUACCACGUCUAAGGAAGGCAGCAGGCGCGCAAAUUACCCAAUACGCACAGCGUGAGGUAGUGACAAGAAAUAACAAAAUGCGGCUUCUAGUUGCAUUAUUGGAAUGAGACGAAUCUAAACCCCUCGUCGAGUAUCAAUUGGAGGGCAAGUCUGGUGCCAGCAGCCGCGGUAAUUCCAGCUCCAAUAGCGUAUACUGUAUGCUGCGUUUUGAGCGCUCGUAGUUGGAUUUCUGCUUGGCGCGGCAGGUCUGCCUUUGGGUGUGUACUUGUCGCGUUGAGCAUUCAUGCCUUCUUGGCCACUGCACUUAAGUGUGAGGGGUCGAGGGGCAGCUUCCACGU